GCGCACUCGCUCGUAUUCCUUCCUCCCUCUCUCUCUCUCUCUCUCUCUCAACCGAAACCGACGCGCGCGCCCCUCAGGGUUGCAUCCCCACUCCAGAGAGAAACUUGUGGCCAGUAAUUCAAUCAUCUGGCGUGUGUUCUGUGGUGAGGGGAAAACACAGAUGGACAUGUAUAACAGACACAGCAAGGGCGACAGCGCUGUAGGCUGGGGCCAAGCUACAUGACAUGGAAAAAGGAAAGGAAAAAGCAAGUUUACCUUCCGCUGCAGAGGGGGGAGGACAGGGACUCCCAUCUCCAAGGCUUCCUGAGUCAAAGAGUGACUGAAGUUUUCAUACAGACUUGUCACUGAAAUCUUUCAUCUUCCUUCAGAGUUGUUUUAACCCCCCCCCCUUAUUCUUCUUCCUUUUUAAAAAAAACAUUCUCCCUUGUUUUGCUCAAGUUCCUGCUUGAUUUUUUUCUUUCUACCAUUUUCAACUAAGUCAUACAUCUCCAUCGUUUUAGACAAAGUUUGGAAGAGGGACUCAGCAGGGUAGGAGUUACUAAGCAUCUGCAAAUUAAUUGUCUGGCCAGGGUAUAGCAGCACGUGGCAGUUGGGAGAUAUUGCAUUUUUGUGACGGACAAGUACAUAACAUUGACAAAUAUUUUUUCAUUAACAUCCAGUAAUGGUAACUGAUGUCAUUGCUUAGCAGAUGCAUUUAACUCAACUUUACAUGAGGUGUUUUUAAAUGACAAACCGGACAAAAAGGUGGUCGUGAUUUUUGUGCCACAUUUAGGAACAUAACUGGCACAAAGGGCCUUGGCAUGAGCAAAAAUAGCCAAAUAACAUUGCUUUGACAUUUUUCUUUUAAUAUAUAAAUGAAUAGCAAUGAGAACAGUGGUGAUAGCAACUGAUAAAUGAAUAAAUGUAAUAUUUAUUGAGCUGAUCACAACAGGUGUAGGUGGGAGAUCCAGAUCAGGGUUCAUAAAAUGAAAGGAAACAGAAUGACCUCUACUCAGUAAUAAAGCAAAUGAACACAUCCUGCAUUUCUGCUAUUAUCUGACUAAUGACAAGCUAAUUGGUCACAUGACAGUGCAUAAUGUGGCCUUCUGGAGGUUUGGGUGUUGCACAAGGUGCUCAGACUCUGACACUGUACAAGCUGCUGCGUUUUCACACCGUUUCAUUGGGUUUGGGUAAAUCGGGGGAUCCAGUGAUUUCCACCUUCCUUGAGCCCAUCUCAGCCUCAUCAGUUAGACACAGCUGGCUUCGGUUUCCUUCGUGAGACGGCAAAUUGCUACAGCCAACUUUGGCACUGGAGAAGACGUGAUGUUCUUUGACAGAAUAGCUUGGGGAUAUUUGUGUUGUUAUUUAAUUAAUCUUUUUGACCUUACCUAGAUCAUUCCAGAGCAUCUGCUGCUGUGCAGUCAAUGGCUAUUCCUAGAAUGCAUGAAAACUGUGUUCAAACCCUGGUAUUCCACACAAAUUGUAUUGAAAAAUUACUCCAUGCAAAGAUGGUUUACAUAAAAUAUUGUCAUUUUACUAUGGAGUUAAAAUUUGGCUUGUGCUCUGUUGGCGUAAACGUCCAAGUUAUAUUUGAAGGCACGUUUCACUGCAAAAUGUCACCUAGUUUAUCACUGACUCGCCCUGUGCUUCAUACCACAAACCCUUUCCAUCUUAUGCAUGAGUACAGUAUGAUGAGCUCCACCAAUGUCACACUGGGCUUGGAAGACUUCAGUGACAAACCUCAGUGCUGAUGGAAAACUGUGCAUGAAUGUAGAUGUAAUACGUUGGACCAGCUUCCUUUCUUCUGUGUCCUACCUCACCCAGAACAAAAGAGAGCCCUUCUUACAUCUAACUUCUUUAUUGAUCCCUAGGUGAAUUUCAUAGAGCAUGAAAGAUGUGGAGCUUCUGAAAGGUUUACCCAGGAGAGCACUUCAGUAUCAGCAGUUCCUGAGUUUCUGCACGAGUCACUCUCUCCCCCUCUCCUCUUCUCUCUCUCUAGAAAUAGCAGUGGGUUAAUUUGCUGAAACUGAACAUUUUGAAAUUACGCUUAGACUAAAAACUCAGCUGACUCUUUUCCUUCUCGUUUUUAAUACGCAAUAUAAAAGCAGUCCUUGAUUGCAUAAAAUUGUGCUUGUGGAAAUGCAUACUGCAACUUCAACAGUAUUUAAACGGCAAAAUACAUCUUUCAAAGGUAAAAAGAACGGCAAAAGGAGUACAACUACUGUACAAAUUGAUUUACUUGAGAGCACUUUUUUGAAUUUAAAAUAACAUGAAAAGCAUAAAAACUGAACAUGCAACAUUAGUGCUUUUGAGAUAUUGCCAUCUCUUGGCUCUGUUCCCCAGAUUCUUUAUGCUUUAUGUGUUGCCUUUUUUUCACACUGUUAGAUAAUUAUAGCCUUUAUUAACUUAUAAGCUGCCUCUGCUUCACCUUAGUUUUUCCUGUACUCUAAUUAGUCCCUUUACUUUCUGCUUCAUCAUUGCUCAGCAUUCUUCACCCAUCCCAGCCAUUAUCACAGCUGUGUGACAAAUCCCACCCUUUUUGAGUGGCCUUUGAAAUUAAAUUAAUUUUUAAUCCUCCAUCCUUCACUCAGCUAGAAAAGAGUUGUACUUUUUAAAUAUUUCAAUGUACAACUGUCAAAUUUAAUUUCUCCAGUUAUGUCCUCUUGUUCUAUGCCCAUCUUUAUGAUUCGUUUGACCUCAGCUCUCUGGAAUCUAUUAAUGUCCCUUUUGGUAUGAGCCAGGGUCAUUCUCAGCUCCUUUCAAAAUUGAGGUUUUUUUUUUUUUUUUUUUAAACAAGAUACAGGUUUAUUUAAUAGAAGAUAGAAUACAGAAAUUUAUGAGCUAUGGUUAAAUUUGUAAAAUUCCUAAUAGUUAUGGUUAAAACAAAUACCUAUGAUAUGUAAUUUACAAUGUAAUUAAUUAUGUAUAUUUUGCUAGAACAUGUUCAGUAUUGAGCUGUAAUAUCCCGAAUUCCAAUAUGGUUAUGGGGUACCGCAAGUGAAUAUUUCAGACUGGUGGAACGUGCCUUUAAAAAAAAAAAAAAAAAAAAAAAAAAAAAACUAAUUUAUAAACAACCCCCAAUUACAUUGUCUUCAUGUUUUAGAAAAUGGAAUAUUUCUACAUUCAAUAAUAAAAGUUGAAGGCAACAUGCAAAAAAAGGUUAACUGCAGUGUGAUGUACUUGAAAUUCCCUUUUUAUCUGAAAUACACAAAUAAAUCAGAAAUGUGACAAAACGGCACGUUUUACAUUAGACUGAAUUCAGCUGAGACGAGGCCUACAGAAAACUCAUUUCUGUUAGGAGAGGCAGCAUCACCCUCAAUGGCUAACCUUUCUUGCAUGUCUCCUUACCCUGUCAGUGCUCUGAGGAGGAUGUGCAAAGUGACAUACAGUAUCAUCAACAGUGAAUCAGUGUGGUAGCCCAGGUCUGCCUGAUGUUCUGAUCUGCUCCAUAACUUUGGAGUUACAUAAUGCAAACCAUGACAUCAGCAGUGUCACCCGCUUUUACUCCACAACAAACAGCUACAUGUCAGAAUGUCAGGAAAAGGUUUGUUUUUUUUUUUUUGCAAAUCACAAAUGCACUAUUUCUGGACCACAGUUUUUUUUUUAAAUUGUUGGAUAAAAUAUCAGUCAAUUUUUUUGUUAGUACAAAUAUCAUUGAUUAGGGUAACAUGAACAUAUCCUUAAAGUUUGUAGGCAGACCUUGUCUGGGAUGAACUGCACAAAUGAAGGUGUGAUUAAACACAAUGGCUUGAUCAGCUGGAUCAAUUGUUUAGCAAGAAUUACGCAGUUUCUUUUUGGACAUUAAAACUGUGGAAAGUUUCACCUUAAACAAGCAAAAAUCCCACCAGGGUUCUAGCAAGGCCUAAUCUUACCUACUACAGCCAAUAUGUCACUGCCAGAAAGUUCCCUGUAGGGGAUUUGUCACAUGGGAUUAUACACCUCUUUGUCUGUUUUAAGGAGGAAACACAAAGAAAGAUUUCAGAUAGCAGGAGAUUUGUGGUAUAUUCACAGAGAUGCCCAGACUGCACUAGCCUACUAACCCACCUUGGGAGAAUUCCACCAGUGAGUCUGCCUUGUACCAUUUUCUCUUUCCGUUGUCCCAAACAUACACACAUAUGCUAAACGCAACGGAAACCUUUAGUCCGGUGAUACGAAACAGUAAAAGACUGAGGUAGUGAUAUUGAUUCUCUAACAAAAAAAAAAAAAAAAAUUACCACCCUCAUA